GACGGACAGCUGUUGCCGUACACAUGACCACUGCCCAGACCACAUCUCACCGUUCCAGACCAAGAACGGAAUCACGAACUUUUCGUUUCUCUACAGGUUUAACUGCGCAUGCGAAGAGAGGUUCUACAACUGUCUGAAGGAGGUGACCAAUGAGAAUUCAGCAUCACUAGUGGGUCAGUUUUACUUCAAUCUCCUCGAGCCCACGUGCUUCAGGAUUGACCAUCCCACAAAGUGUGUAAGAAAAGGAUGGUGGUUCCUAUGUAAGAAGAAGAUCCUAGACACGACAAAACCUCAGGCGUGGAACUUCUACAAGUUUGGCAAAUCAUUUUGAUGACAGUCUUUGCUGUUGUGGCUCAGGUCGGCUCGCCUGGUUUAGCCCUCGGGUUAAUUGUAGCCGAAACUAGACAAGUGUUUUCAGGGUCUUGCUUUGAAAAUCCUGAGCUAGUAAAUUUGUGUGUGGGAGUAAAAAUGACUGCUGCUAAUUUUUUACAAGGGAACACAACACGUCAGGUUUUGUUAACGGAAGUGAAAGAAGACCUUCGGAAGACAAAUGGCUUACCACAGUGUUCACUAGAUGACAAAAAAACAUGGCAGACGAUAACACACACGCGACACUAUGGUUACCGGAAUUAACUGUUCGAGAG